rnacentral:rRNA from 1 species
AAUGGGGGAAACCCUGACGCAGCCAUGCCGCGUGAGUGACGAAGGCCUUAGGGUUGUAAAGCUCUUUCAGAUGCGAAGAUAAUGACGGUAACAUCAGAAGAAGCUCCGGCUAAAUUCGUGCCAGCAGCCGCGGUAAUACGAAUGGAGCAAGCGUUGUUCGGAAUCACUGGGCGUAAAGCGUACGUAGGCGGAUUUUCAAGUCAGAAGUGAAAGCCCAGGGCUCAACCCUGGAACGGCUUUUGAAACUGAAAGUCUAGAGUCCCGGAGAGGUUAGGGGAAUUCCGAGUGUAGCAGUGAAAUGCGUAGAUAUUCGGAGGAACACCAGUGGCGUAGGCGCCUAACUGGACGGGAACUGACGCUGAGGUACGAAAGCGUGGGGAGCAAACAGGAUU